GACUCAGCGUGCUACUGUUCUCUAAGGUCGUUGAGUGCUGAGAACAGGCUAUAUAAUUAGGCUUUGAACGAGAAGUUGGAGGAGAUAAAAACUUCCAGGAAGUGUUUAGGCGAGUUCCAUGCCGAAAAUAAUGUUAUGUGAGCAGAGAGUGCAGGCUUGUGCUCUUCUGUUGAAGAGCUUGAGCAUGAGAGAUUGAAUCAACACAUAAGUCAUGAGAGCAUAUCUUUAGACGAGGAGAGGCGACUGGUCAAAGAAAUUAAGACCCUUGAAAAAACCAGACCGAGGGUCAGUUCCAAUGCUGCUAAGCAAGCUAAAAUGCAAGAUAUAGUGGUUGAGAGAGAUGCCAUACAGAUCAGGUGAAAAUCAUCAUACAUGGAGUAAAGAAGGAGGGACAAGCAGCCAGGUCUAAGAUUAAGGUCAUGAACGAUGAGGCGAUGGGCGUGGAGAGCUGCUACAAGCUCGCGCAGGCGGCGUACGUCAACCUCGCGCUGCACACACUCAAGCACCUGGCGGCCGUCAUCAAUGGGCUCCUCGUCCAUGAUUAGCUGGACAACAUGAACCUCGGGGAGGUUGUGAAGGGGAACAUCUGUGACGCCGUUCUUUAGGUGCUCGCCCAUGUCUAUGUAAUUAUCUCUUUAUUGCUUCUAAAUUAAUGCCAACAGAUUAGCGUGCUUCUGAGAUAUCUUCCAAGUUACUGGUAACUACAAAAAUUAGACCA